rnacentral:rRNA from 1 species
GAUGAACGCUGGCGGCGUGCCUAAUACAUGCAAGUCGAGCGAACAGACGAGGAGCUUGCUCCUCUGACGUUAGCGGCGGACGGGUGAGUAACACGUGGAUAACCUACCUAUAAGACUGGGAUAACUUCGGGAAACCGGAGCUAAUACCGGAUAAUAUAUUGAACCGCAUGGUUCAAUAGUGAAAGACGGUUUUGCUGUCACUUAUAGAUGGAUCCGCGCCGCAUUAGCUAGUUGGUAAGGUAACGGCUUACCAAGGCAACGAUGCGUAGCCGACCUGAGAGGGUGAUCGGCCACACUAGAACUGAGACACGGUCCAGACUCCUACGGGAGGCAGCAGUAGGGAAUCUUCCGCAAUGGGCGAAAACCUGACAGAGCAACGCCGCGUGAGUGAUGAAGGUCUUCGGAUCGUAAAACUCUGUUAUUAGGGAAGAACAAAUGUGUAAGUAACUAUGCACGUCUUGACGGUACCUAAUCAGAAAGCCACGGCUAACUACGUG